rnacentral:tRNA from 1 species
GUUCUUAUAGUUGAAUUACAACGGCGAUUUUUCAUGUCGCUGGUCUUGGAUUGAUCCAUGUAAGAAUA